AUGGAGCCCAUCAGCGGCAUCGGCGGUGGGGGCGCGUCCUCGGCGGCGGAGUGGUACCGCACGGAGGCGGCAUGGGCGUUCCAGCAUUACCUAGACCGGGCGGCGCCGCACACGGCGGGGCGGUGGGCGGGCACGCUGCUGGCCACCGCCGUCUACGCGCUGCGGGUCUACUACGUGCAGGGCUUCUACGUCGUCUCCUACGGCCUCGGCAUCUACCUCCUCAACCUCCUCAUCGGCUUCCUCUCCCCCAUGGUCGACCCGGAGCUCGAGGCCGGCCCCGCGCUCCCCACCCGCGGCAACGAGGAGUUCAAGCCAUUCAUCCGCCGCCUCCCCGAGUUCAAGUGCUGGUAUGCCAUCACAAAAGCCUUCUGUGUUGCUUUUUCCAUGACAUUCUUCUCGGUAUUUGCCGUUGUGCCAGUCGGAGGUGCUGCUGCUACAUUUGGCGGAGCUACCGCUGCCGCCCCAAAGGCCAACCUUCAUCAGACACUACCUCAUAACAGUGCCUCAAAGUUCUGUGCCCCAUCUCCCCUCUUUCUAAAUUACUGA
rnacentral:rRNA from 1 species